rnacentral:rRNA from 1 species
UGGGGAAUAUUGGACAAUGGGCGCAAGCCUGAUCCAGCCAUGCCGCGUGAGUGAUGAAGGCCUUAGGGUUGUAAAGCUCUUUNGCCGNCGAAGAUAAUGACGGUACCCGGAGAAUAAGCCCCGGCUAACUUCGUG